rnacentral:tRNA from 1 species
UCCCUAGUAGCUCAGAAGGAAAGCAUCUGCCUGCAAUGCAGGAGACCUGGGUUCGAUCCCUGGGUCGGGAA